AAAAAUAUUAAUUUCCCACUUCUCUCUCCUUCCUCUUCUCUGGUUAUUGCUUUACCCUAACUUCAUUUUCCCCUCUCUGGUUUCUCUCCUUCCCCCCCUCUAGUUCUUCACUGGGUGCGAAAUUCAAACUCACAACAGCACACACCGCACUGUUGUUCCCCCACCGCCUCAUCGCCGCUGCUCUUCCCCCACCGUCGCGUCGCGCUGCUCUUCCCCUACCACGCCGCCGUUGCUGUUCCUCCACCUCCGCGACGCUCCUCUUUAUCUAGGACACCCCGUACAUCAAUAGUUAGCUUUCUUCAAUUCGUUUAAAGAAGAACAUCGGGGAUGGGAGAUACACUAAGAAUAAGGAAGCUUCAGAAGCAGAGAGAAAUUCAGCUUGCAAAUUUGAGGAGCUCGGGAACAAUACUGCUUCCACUAUGAAACCUAAUGAUUCUCUUCUUCAAUUCGGUUCCAGUAAUGCCUAGAUGCUAGAGGCUGCAUUAAAGAAAGAAAUUGCAUGUCUUGUUACAAGGGAGGAAUAUGUUGAGAAGGUCAAAAGUUAAGAAGAAAAUUAUGGAGGGAGUGAAAAAUGAACUGCAGAAGCUACAGGAAGAGGAAGCAAAGCUUUAGUUAGAAAAUUGUUCAAAGAGGAAGAGUAAAGUGAAUGCUCGAUUAUCGUUAGCUGAUGAUAUAACAGUGGAACUGAAGAAGAAGAUGAAAGUAGUGCACAAAGGUGACAUUUCUACGAGCUGUUCAGCAACAGCUUGCUCUAGAAUUCCAGGAAGCCUGGAUUGCUUCUGUGGAAAAUCUACUAUAUUUAAAAGAGGAUCUAAUCAUUCCACAUAGACGCAGUUUCUGUGAGCUAAUCAUGAACAAGGCAAAAGGUAAAAGUGGACCAAUCUUCUUAAGGUAUUCAACAAUCUGAGGGAGCAGUCUUUCACCACUGAGGAGAUAAAUGCAGUUCGAGAAAAGCUGGCAAACUUCACUAUGACAGAAAUUGCUUUUAAUAGCGCUUAAUAAUGCUUUUAACAGUGCUCCUUGAAGCGUUGUUGAUGGCUUCGCUAUUAAAAGUAAAAGGUACCUUUAAUAGCGCUUUACAAAAGCGCUGUCAUAUGUAGUAUCUAGGAUAAUUCAAAUGUUUCUUUCAUAGCACAUUAUAAACGCUAUUAAAGAAACGCUAUUGAAGAUUUGGCGCCAUCUUUCAAAUUAUUUUCUAAUAGCGGAUGUUAUGAAGCGCUAUUAAAGUUUUUUUUUGUUUUUUUGUUUUUAAUUAUUUAUAAUAUCGCUGCCUACUUGAAAA